UGGUGGGUAGUUUGACUGGGGCGGUCUCCUCCCAAAGAGUAACGGAGGAGCACGAAGGUGGGCUAAUCACGGUCGGACAUCGUGAGGUUAGUGCAAUGGCAUAAGCCCGCUUAACUGCGAGAAUGACGGUUCGAGCAGGUGCGAAAGCAGGUCAUAGUGAUCCGGUGGUUCUGUAUGGAAGGGCCAUCGCUCAACGGAUAAAAGGUACUCCGGGGAUAACAGGCUGAUACCGCCCAAGAGUUCAUAUCGACGGCGGUGUUUGGCACCUCGAUGUCGGCUCAUCACAUCCUGGGGCUGAAGUCGGUCCCAAGGGUAUGGCUGUUCGCCAUUUAAAGUGGUACGCGAGCUGGGUUUAGAACGUCGUGAGACAGUUCGGUCCCUAUCUGCCGUGGGCGUUGGAUGAUUGAGAGGGGCUGCUCCUAGUACGAGAGGACCGGAGUGGACGAACCUCUGGUGUUCGGGUUGUGUCGCCAGACGCAUUGCCCGGUAGCUAAGUUCGGAAUCGAUAACCGCUGAAAGCAUCUAAGCGGGAAGCGAGCCUCA
rnacentral:rRNA from 1 species